rnacentral:rRNA from 1 species
CUACGGGGGGCUGCAGUGAGGAAUAUUGGUCAAUGGGCGUAGGCCUGAACCAGCCAUCCCGCGUGCAGGAAGACGGCGCUAUGCGUUGUAAACUGCUUUUCCAGGGAAAGAAAACCCCCGACGUGUCGGGGCUUGCCGGUACCCUGGGAAUAAGCAUCGGCUAACUCCGUGCCAGCAGCCGCGGUAAUUCGGAGGAUGCAAGCGUUAUCCGGAUUUAUUGGGUUUAAAGGGUGCGUAGGCGGAUUAAUAAGUCAGUGGUGAAAACCUUCAGCUUAACUGGAGACUUGCCAUUGAUACUGUUAGUCUUGAGUACGGUCAAGGUAGGCGGAAUGUGUAAUGUAGCGGUGAAAUGCUUAGAUAUUACACAGAACACCGAUUGCGAAGGCAGCUUACUGGGCCAUUACUGACGCUGAGGCACGAAAGCGUGGGGAGCGAACAGGAUUAGAUACCCCUGUAGUC